GAUGAACGCUAGCGGCAGGCCUAACACAUGCAAGUCGAGGGAAAAGCCUUCGGGCUAAGACCGGCGCACGGGUGCGUAACGCGUAUACAAUCUGCCUUUUAUCCGGCGUAUAGCCCGAAGAAAUUUGGAUGAAUACCCUAUGGUAUAAGAGCACGGUAUCGUGCCCUUAUUAUAGCUACGGCGGUAAAAGAUGAGUAUGCGUUCUAGUUGCUAGUGGGAGAGGUAACGGCGCCCCAAGGGUACGAUAGAUAGGGGUUCAGAGAGUGAUGUCCCCCACAACUGUAACGAGGUACGGACCAGAAUGCUACGGGAGGGAGGAGUAAGGAAUACUGGACGAUGGUCGGAAGACUGACCCAGCCAUGCCGCGUGCAGAAGGCCGGGCUUAGGGGUUGUAAACUGCUUUUGUAAGGGAAGAAUAAGGAGUACGUGUACUUUGAUGACGGUACCUGACGAAUAAGCAUCGGCUAACUACGUG
rnacentral:rRNA from 1 species